ACAGUCAUUUCACGUAGAAAGACCGUUUCCCGUACGAUCACCGAAGUUAAGCAACGUCGAGACUGCUCAGUACCUAGAUGGUGACCGCUUGGGAAUACCUGUUUCUGUA